CCUACGGGUGGCUGCAGUGAGGAAUAUUGGUCAAUGGGCGGAAGCCUGAACCAGCCAAGUAGCGUGCAGGAUGACGGCCCUACGGGUUGUAAACUGCUUUUAUACGGGAAUAACGCGCCUUACGUGUAGGGCUUUGCAUGUACCGUAUGAAUAAGGACCGGCUAAUUCCGUGCCAGCAGCCGCGGUAAUACGGAAGGUCCGGGCGUUCUCCGGAUUUAUUGGGUUUAAAGGGAGCCGAGGCCGCAUGUCAAGCGUGCUGUGAAAUGUCCGGGCUCAACCCGGGCCUUGCAGCGCGAACUGGCGGGCGUGAGGCCGCCGAAAGGAGGCGGAAUUCGUCGGGUAGCGGGGAAAUGCUU
rnacentral:rRNA from 1 species